rnacentral:tRNA from 1 species
GGGCCGUUGGAGCAAGCUGGCAGCUCACCUGGUUCUCAGCCAGGAGGUUACGGGUUCGAGCCCCGUACGGCCCA